rnacentral:rRNA from 1 species
UGCCACAGCCAUAUCACCCUGCAGCCCAAGACCGGUUACUCACUGAAGCUAAGCAGGGCUGAGCCUGGUCAGUACCUGGAUGGGAGACCACUGGGGAAAACAAGGUUGCUGUUGGAA